UUUGGAAGCUCCUUUUUGCUGGUUCUUCAAGCCCUCUCCUCUACAAAAUCCCUAGUUGAGAAAUCAACCAAGAAUUAAGUUGGUGCUUCAACCAAGUCAAGAAUAUAUACAAGUCUCUCUUUGGAUAAAAGGGACAACUUUUAUCCUUGCUUAAUAUGAGCUUAAGAGACUGUAUUUUCGUCAAUUCAGGUAUGGCCAUGUUCCCCUCUCUCAUGUAUGUGAUGUAAGACUCACGGGACGACGAUAGGAAGUCGUGAGUCCAAGUUUCACCUAUGUUAAUUGAUAUUUUUAGUGAGGAGGGAGUGUGUGGAGUGGUUUGGUAACUGCUUGUUAAUGUGUUGGAGUCAUUUAAAUGUAGUGUAUUGUUGUUAGUAAUAUGAGGGGUUGAAUACUAUAAACACCGAUCGAUUAGAAUGUCUCUUGAGUUUACACCUACCAUGUGUCUGUUGAAUUGACGACCUGACUUGGAUAUGUUGUGUAACUGCCUAAAGUUGAAUUUUCAUUUGUUGUUGUUUUAUACUAAAGGGAGCAUGGGAUAAUUCAGCCGUUGUAGUACAUUACAAGAUUUAAAUCAAGGUAUGUAAAGGUGACCCUUUCCGCCAUUUUCAAGAGCGAAUUUACGUCGUUAACAGAACUAGUACUCUAAUAUUUUUAACUAAUAUUGAGGUAUGGUAUUGUUCUGUUAGAAGGUUGUGAAGACAUGGUGAAAUCUAUAGUUGUCUGAAUGUUUAAGAUAAAUGUAUGUGACGCGAAUGACAAUAUAUAUAGUUGUUGUCGUAGUUGUAAACUGAGUUUGGAGACCCCUUAUCGUGGGCACUGUGAGCUGGUCCUAUAUGUAUUUUUAUUAAGAAGUAGUUAUGUAUAUGAGUUCCAUGUUUCCAUGUGAGUAAGGCCAAAUAAUUUAGAACUAUUUGUGCUUGUCGACACGAUAAGUUACUAAUGAGAGUCCAAUUGUAUAAUUAUCGGUACGGGUAAAAGAAGCACCUUAGAAGUAAAUGAAGCACCUUAUGGGUAGAAUAUGUGUAUAUAUGCAUAUCCUAAAUGUUAGUGGAUUAAAUAGAAAUAGAAAUAUAUGUGCUCUUGUUCAAGCUAUAUGCUAAGGCGACAUAAUAUAUUUAGGUACCUCAUUCAUAAGGCUACUAGAUUCCUUAUGACAUCUAAACCUUCUUAUGGUUGUUUAAGUAUUAAGUAGGUGUACUUAUAUUCUAUUUGAAAGCUUUAUAUGUUACAUGUACAUAGUUGCAAUUCACGAGUCUUGAAGAGUCCUAUUGAGGCCACAGUCCUAGAGGCAGCUUGCAUAUGUGAUAUAUUUAUGUAAUACCCCGGAAACUAGUAAGUGAAACUAGAGAGUUCUAGAGCCCUGUGUUAGGGUUUUAGAGUUUGAUAUGAGGGUUAAAAUCAUAACAAUGACUUUCCAUAUUUAGAAUGAAUGUUUUAGGUUUAAGGCGUCAAGGUACGAUCCCCCAAGGACCAACCAAAGGGUCCUUGAGGAGGACCCUAAAAACAGCCCCAAAAGCUGUCAAAACCACGGGCAUCUAUGGCUAGUAGUUGUUUUAAGUUGGGACUUAGGGGUUAAUUCAUUAUUAGUUAAUGGUUAAGUAGGGUCGGUUUAUUAGUAAUUAGACCCCAUAUAUAAACCUAAUAGACCCCUAAUUAAGUCAUUCUAAAUCAUUCUCUCAACUCACCAAAAAGAAACCAAAAAUUCUCUCUCUAGAAGUGAAGAAGAAGAAGAGAAGGAAGCUAGGGCAGAAUUCUUCCAUUGAUGCAAGCUUGGUGAGGCUUUGAAUCAAGGUAUGUUAGCUUAUUCAUCUAUGGACUCUUCCAUCCAUAGAACCCCCUAGAUUUCCCCCAAUUGUGAAGACAAAACCCAAUUCUAGCUAGGGUUUCUUCCUACAUUGUGGGUAGUGUUGAAGUAUGAUUCCAAUUGAGUGGAUAAUACAUAAUUAUGAUUGAUUUAGCAUUGAAUUAUGAUAUUAUGAUGAAUUUAUGUGAUUUCCAUGGUUAACCCUAGUCUAAUUGAUAGAAUUGAUAUUAUGUGGGUUUAUGUCAUGAGAGGUGAACUUGAGGAUUAAUAGGUGAUAGGUGAGGAUUCUAAAAUUAAUGUCAUGUGUAGUAAUUUUUCAAGAUUAGGAACAUAUAGACAUGAAUUGAACUAGAUUUUAGUAUAUAUGAUGGAUCAUGACUAGUAAAGUUGAAAUUGAACCUUUAUGAUGAAUUGUGACUAUAAUCACUUAAUAAUGAAGAAUGUGAUUAGAACAUUUUGAAAUCUAGAUAUGUAUGAUAAUUGUAAGAAGUAAAGCUUUGAGGGUAAGGCUUGUAUUCAUGAAUGUUGAUCACUAGGGUUUUGAGAGUAAAUCAAGAUGAUGAACUAGGCAUGUUAAGGCUUUGAGAGUAAAGUCUAUAUGAGAAUAGAAGCUUAAUGGAUAGAAUUAUGGUGGAAGACCUUUACCUACCUAAUCUACCUCAUGAAUGCUUGAAUGUAUGAAGUGAUAGAAUCACUUGAGUUAUGAUGAUAUCCAUGUCUAAUGUAGAAUUCUAGAUAUGGUAUUAUGCAUGAAUAUGAUAUGACAUGAAAGGUUCUCUCACAUAGAAUGAUUCUAGGUUGAAAUUCUAUUCUCACCUAAAAUGAAUCUAAGUCCUAGGACUAUGAAAUGUGAUGAGGCUUGUGGUGAUUACCCUAAAAGACCUUUACAUGAUAGGAAUGUGAGGUGAGUUCCCUUGCUCCUAAUUAGUUAAAUAUGAGGUGAUUACCCUUUAUGUAUGUAUGACUCCCAAGGCAAGCGGUGAUUACCCAUUAGCCUUUAUGUUGAUCAUAGAGUCGAUUACCUAUGAUCCUUAUGUGAUGAUGUGGAGGCGAAUACCUACAUUACACAUUAAUAAUGAACAUGGAGGCGAAUACCUAUGAUUCAUUAGUAUGUAUGACUAGAGGUGAUUAUCCUUGUCUUUAUGAUUCCAUGAUAUGUAUGACUAGUGGUGAUUUGCCUUGUUAUGAUUCCAUGAUAUAUAUGGCUUGAGGUGAUUCCACUUGCCCUUCAUGAUGAACUGAACAUGUAUGCCUUGAGGUGAUUCCCCUUGCAUUUAUGAAUAUGAGCAUAACUCGUUUGGAUUAUAGCUUGGUAGGCCCCUCCAAUACAUGCAUGACUAGAGGUGAUUCCCCUUGUCUUUAUGAUGUUAAGAGAUGAUAAACAUGAAUGAUGAACCUAAAGUGUCUAGCUUAGCAUGGGUAGAAUUAUAGGGUCUUGUUCAUGCAUGGCACAAACUUGCCUUGAGGUGACUCAUGAAGUGUUUCUCUUAUAUGAUAUAUGCUUAGAUAGGAUUGUGCUAUAGUUGCCUUCCUUGUUAUGUUAUGAUUGACUAAAGGUGAGAUAUUCCCUUGGUUAUGAGAAUAAGCUAAAUAUGAGAUCCUAAUGAAUGGUAAAUAUGAAUAUAGUGACUUCAAGGUUAUGCUUAGUGUGAAUGGUAUUAUGGGAUGUCAUUCAUGCAUUGCACAAGUAUGCUUUGAGGUUAUUUGAGAGUGGUCUUAUUAUGAUAUGAAUGACUAGGAAUGGAAUAAUGCUUAUAUGAUCCUUAUGUUAGAGACUUUGCUUAUGACUGUAAUAAUGUCUCUUAUGCUUAUAGUUUAUGUGUCAUAAAGUAUUUCAUAUGAUUGUGGAUUAUGUCUUACAUUGACUAACCCUUAUAUUAUGCUCUUAUGAUGUUAUGCUAGCUAACAUAUUUAGUACAUUUUGUACUAACACAUACUUUGCCUACAUUCUAAUCAAAUGUAGGGUUCGGAGAUUUGAGUUCCAAUCUUGAGGAUAGGUUUCUAAAGAGCAAAUGAGUUGAAGAUUUGGUGAGUCCUCAUAGCUUCGAGGACAAAACCCACUAUUUCCUUUAUGUCUUUUACUUUCAUGUUAUGAGACUAUUGUGUGGGCUGUGUCCUAAAGGUUUUAAUUCAAAGUUGAGUUUAGAUGGUUUGAGACAAAAGUGUAGCAAGACUUUCGCUUGCUUUUGAAAAGACUUCGAUUGUAUGGAUAAAAGUUUUUAAAAUUUCCGUACUUUUCUAUUAUCUUAUGUUAUGAUAUGCUAAGUUCUUGUAUGAGACCCCUCGGGGUCAAGUAUGUCAUGUUACAUCUAGGGUGUACACCUGGGUCAUGAAAAUUUAUUUGAAAUACUUGAUAUGUAUCUAGCCAGCGCAGUAGAUGAUAGUGAUUAUGACUUUAUGUUACACUACCAAUGGGGUAAUGUCGAUAGACAGAUAUAGUAAUAGCUACAACUAUAGUUCACCAGACCACCACAACAGGCAUGUCAGGUGGGCAGGUAACCCCGUGACCACACCACAACAACAGGCAUGUCUGGUGGGCAGAUAACCCAGGCAUUACACCACCACAAUAGGCAUGUCGGUGGGUAGAUAACUCUGUGACCACACCAUCACGGUAGGCAUGUAGAGUGGACAGAUAACCCAUGCAUUACACCAUCACGACAGGCAUGCUCGGUGGACAUAUGCUUACUCAGUCAUCACAUCACCGAGAUGAACAUCUCAGCUGGGCAGGGUCACUACUAUGACAUGAUUAUCAUAGAGUUCACCAUUAAAGAAAUACGAUUUGUAUAUGUGCUUACUUAGUUGCAUUCACGGAUCAAUGUUACGUCAUUAUCAGAUCUCAGCUUAUGGAGUCUCGGGUUGUUUCUAUCCCUAACUCUAGUUCACUAUUUUUUAUAUACUUAUGUUUACAACUUUCAACCUUACAUACCAGUACAUGUUAUUCAUACUGACGUCCCUCCGCUUGGGGACGCUAUAUUCGUGUUGCAGGUGUAAGUAGAGGCUCUAAUUGUCAGUUGUAAUAGGUAUCCGACUUCAACUUAGAAUUGAUAUUCUCCUUCCAUUCAGGAGCCAUGUUCUACUUUGGCAGUAUUGUGUUAUUUUCCAUUUGGUAUGGGUAGGUUGGGGACCUGUCUUGUGUGCUAAGUUUGUUAGUCUUUAUAGGAUUUUGUGGACGAGUAUGUACAAUUUAGUUUAGUUUGGUUUUUAUGGUCUUGUCGGCUUUUCGUUGCUUAGUUUAGUUGUAUUAUGGCCUAGUUGACCUUAUGUUGUUAAAGUUUAAUUUAGUUAUGACCUCGUUUGUUUAGAUGGAUAUGAUAGUUGGCCUGGAUGGCCUUAGCAGUAUAGUUAAUUUCAGCUAUUAUAUAGUUGACUUCUUGAUUAAGUCUAUAUUGAGGCCAGACGUGCCCUACCCCAAUUUUGGGGGCGUGAAAAACUUGGUAUCAGAGCGAGGUCAGCUCCUAGGGAGACCACAAAGCCAUGUCUAAUAGAGUCUUCCUUAUUGGUAUGUUGUGCACAAUACAUAUAAUCAUGAGGCUACUGGAUAUUUAGAGGUUGUUUCAUAUCUUUCAUUGACAAUUCAUUCUAUAUAGCAAAAUCAUUAGGUUAUAUGAUAUCCAAAUUGCUACUCCCCCCGUCCCAUUUUAUGUGGCACUUUUUGGAUUUCUAGAUUCAAACAAGUCUAUCUUUGACCGUGAAUUUUUCAUAGAUUUUUUAAACAUUUUGAAUUACCAAUUAUUGUGACUUAUAGUACUUUUUACGUAGUUUACAAAUAUAUAAAUUUCAUUUCAAAAAAAUUGAAGAUCCCAUGCGUAAAUUUUCGGUCAAACUUAAACUAUUUGACUCUUGAAAAACAAAAAGUGCCACAUAAGUUGAGACAUAUGGAGUAUUAUUUAUGAAUAUGUCAAUGACGAGGUAGAUGGCUAUACAAUUGAUUGGUAUGACUAAGCGAGAGGGUAAUAUCCGCCCUCGAGAAGAGUAGAGAGAUGGCUAAGAUGCUCAGAGUGAGUCUCCUUCUCAAGGCAUUGCAGCCCCUCCAGCUCCAGCUAGAGCUAAAUUAGACAAACAUCCAGCUUCACAAGCCUUAGUAAUACAAAAGGGUGACAGAGUGACUGACCCUCUGGCACCUAUCGCACAUCUAGUAGCCCAAAUGGACAAGGAAUUGAGGGAGCUAUUCAGUUGAUGGCUUGUAUAUCUGUAACACCCCAAAAAUUAGCAGGCAAGACUAGAGCUAAACAUUAAGGUUAGAGUCAAGGAAGGAGGGCAAGAGACAAGGCUUCCCAAACCUUGCCAAGGCACUGCCCCAAGACCACGUAGGGCCUUCACGACCAGUGGUGGUCACCACGAGUCGUGGAGCCACUCGUGGAGGUGGAGGCGGUAGCCUCCUUAAGGCUGCCUCAAGUUGGCUCCUCCACACGAGCCAUUUCACGGCUCGUGAAGCCUUAGACGACUCGUGGGAGUGGCCUUGAACAUGCCUUAGUGGUUGAGGGUUGAUGGAGGGUGGCUUAGCCACUGCCUCAAGGCCCACGAGAGGGACCAUGACUCGUGGCUUGCACAACGGCUCGUGGAGCCCCUCGUGAAGAUGUCUUGGGCUUGUGAGCUAAAGGUACUUGUUGCCUAGCCACUGCCUCAAGUCCAUGAAGGGGACCACGACUUGUGGUCAUGACCAUGGCUCGUGGGGAUCCACGUGGUCCCUGGCAACUCACUUAAAGUGAGGGGUAUUUUGGGUUAUUUCGGUUUGAGUCUUAUUAAAGUAAAGUCAUUUUGCCUUAGUUUUAUACACCUAUAUAAGUCAUUUUAAGUGAAAAUACACCAAUUCACCCCAUUAUUUCCAAAAACCCCAAAUCAAAUCCCAAAAGUUCAUCUUCUUUCAAAAUUUCUCUCUCUAGAACUCCAAGGAAGAAGAAGAAGAAAGUUGAAGCUAGAAUUUGAAGGAGCAAGGUUUUCCACUUGAUUUCUUUCGAGAUUCAUAGCUAAGGUAUGGUAGUCCUUCAUCCAUGGAUAUCUUUCAUCCAUGGAGUCCCUUCAAACUCCAAAUUUCUAAGUUAGAAAUCCCUAAAAGCUAGGGUUUUACUCCAAAUUCAUGGGUUCCUUUCUAAAACGAUUUUUAUGUUUUAAUUAUGAUAUAUUAUGAAUGAAUUGAUGAGUAUUGAUGUUUUUAUGAUGAAUUCCCCAAGAACCCAUGAAACCCCCAUAGUUCCCAAUUAUGAUUUUGUGAUGUGGGUUUGUUGAUGAAAGAAGAGUAUUAGUAGAUUGUGUAUGAAAUGAAUUGAUUUCUUGAAUUAUGAUUAUAUACAUGUCUAAUGUAGUGAAUUCUAGAUAUAUUGAUAGAAUGUGAUCCUUGAUCCUUAAAGGGUAAAGUAUUAGAAUUAUGCAUGAUUAUGAGAUUUAUGUAUAUGCUUCAUGAACACUUUGAGAGUAAAGUGAUUAUGAUUAUGAUCUAGUUGUUGUGUUGUUGAGAGACUAUCCUCAUAUACAUACCUAUGUAUGAAGAUGAUAUGAUGUGAAAGGUUUUCUCACAAUAUGAUGAUUCCAAGGUUGAAAGGUUAUUCUUACCUAUUGAAUUUAUGAGCUAUCUUAUGAAUUAUGUUGGAUUGAGUGUCAAGGCAUUCUUCCAUGAAUAUGAACUUAAGUUAACAUUUAAUAGGUACUCUGUGGGAUAAAUGCUUAGCACUGAGUUAAUAUUUAAUAUGAGAUCGAAGCUCUUCCGUUAGAAAUGUCGAGUUUCUAGAAAGAAUCUCUUGAGAUGGAAGCUCCCCCGUUAAAAAGGGCGGAUUUCUAGUAGGAAUCUCCUUAUCCCAUAAACUAUGUGCCCCAUAGGUUAUUUAGCUAGUGGAUCCACAUAAGCUAAGAGUAUGGUUCUACCUUACGCAAGUAGGAAAACCCUUUUUGGUGUGGGUAACACAUGGAUUCUAUGAUAAGCUCACAUGGUCUAUGUCGGUUAAGGCUUAUUCCCACUAUGAACAAGAAUAUGAAUUAUGAACUAUGGUUACUCAAGAAGCUUUACUUAGUCAUGGGUGGGAUUAUGGGAUCUUAUUCAUGCACUGCACGAGUAUGCUUUGAGGGUAUUUAUGGUAUGUUUCUAUUAUGAUAUUAUGAUUUAUGUAGUGAAUAUUCUUAUGACUUAUGCUUUUCCAUUACCUUCAAAAUGAUUCUUUAACUUAGUAAAUUGAAUGCAUUCAACUAAAAUGUCCCUUUUGCACGUUUUCAAGGUUUUAAUGCAUUGCUAUCAUACUUAGUGCAUUUUCGUACUAACCCAUAUUUCUCCUACAUUUUCCCCAAGUGUAGGGUCCGGUUCUCAGGUGGUCCUCAUUGUGGCUAGAGCUUGGAAUUGAUCAUUUCUCCAUGCUUGUUGGUGAGUCCUCAUAAUUGGAGGACGGAUGUUAUCUUAGUAGUUUCAUUUAUGCAUUUUUGUUUUGGAUUAUGUAGUAU
rnacentral:lncRNA from 1 species